UACAGAGGGUGCGAGCGUUAAUCGGAAUUACUGGGCGUAAAGCGCACGUAGGCGGCUUACUAAGUCAGGGGUGAAAUCCUGGAGCUCAACUCCAGAACUGCCUUUGAUACUGGUAAGCUCGAGUCCGGGAGAGGUGAGUGGAACUGCGAGUGUAGAGGUGAAAUUCGUAGAUAUUCGCAAGAACACCAGUGGCGAAGGCGGCUCACUGGCCCGGUACUGACGCUGAGGUGCGAAAGCGUGGGGAGCAAACAGG
rnacentral:rRNA from 1 species